rnacentral:rRNA from 1 species
AUUUGGUGGCAGAGCUAUGAGGCUAUGCUUCCAGCUGGUCAGAUUCCUACGUGGAAGGAUUUCACCGAGGCUUUUCGUGAGCACCACAUUCCUCAGGCUCUCAUUGACCGCAAGAGGGAAGAGUUCUGUAGUUUUACCCAGGGUAAGCUGCCUGUUGAUGCUUACAGUAGAGAGUUUGGAAACCUCGCCCGCUAUGCUACAGAAGAAGUGUCCACGGACGCUAAGAAGAAGGUUAGGUUCCGGAAGGGUCUCAACCCUAAGUUGCGUCGUGAUCUCCACCUGCAUCAUUGUGUUACUUUCGAGGCUCUUGUGAACAAGGCCAUUAAUGCGGAGACAGCUUAG